rnacentral:rRNA from 1 species
GACGAACGCUGGCGGCGUGCUUAACACAUGCAAGUCGAGCGAUGAAGCACCUUCGGGUGUGAAUUAGCGGCGAACGGGUGAGGAACACGUGAGAAAUCUGCCUUCAACACUGGGAUAACUCCGGGAAACCGGGGCUAAUACCGGAUAUGAAACCUGCGGGCAUCCGCGGGUUUGGAAAGUUUUUCGGUUGAAGAUGAUCUCGCGGCCUAUCAGCUUGUUGGUGAGGUAAUGGCUCACCAAGGCGACGACGGGUAGCCGGCCUGAGAGGGCGACCGGCCACACUGGGACUGAGACACGGCCCAGACUCCUACGGGAGGCAGCAGUGGGGAAUAUUGGGCAAUGGAGGAAACUCUGACCCAGCGGCGCCGCGUGCGGGAUGAAGGCCUUCGGGUUGUAAACCGCUUUCAGCAGGGAAGAAGCGAAAAUGACGGUACCUGCAGAAGAAGCACCGGCUAACUAUGUGCCAGCCGCCGCCGUAA